rnacentral:rRNA from 1 species
AUACGUAGGGUGCAAGCGUUAAUCGGAAUUACUGGGCGUAAAGCGUGCGCAGGCGGUUUUGUAAGACAGUGGUGAAAUCCCCGGGCUUAACCUGGGCACUGACCUUUUGACUGCAAAGCUGGCGUGCGGCAGAGGGGGGCGGAAUUCCGCGUGUCGCGGUGAAAUGCGUAGAUAUGCGGAGGAACACCGAUGGCGAAGGCAAUCCCCUGGGCCUGCACUGACGCUCAUGCACGAAAGCGUGGGGAGCAAACAGGAUUAGAUACCCUGGUAGUCCACGCCCUAAACGAUGUCAACUGGUUGUUGGGGAUUUAUUUUCUCAGUAACGAAGCUAACGCGUGAAGUUGACCGCCUGGGGAGUACGGCCGCAAGGUUAAAACUCAAAUGAAUUGACGGGG